CCUCACCAGGUACUUGUCCCGGUGCUUGGAUUGCAGCACAUGGGCCAGCUCGCGCAGGUGGCCCCGGUGCCGCUGUUCAUCGGGCCGCGCGGGGAAGGCGGCGGCCAAGAUGCGCUCCGUCACGUAGGAUGAGCAAUACCCACAGCACUCCGUUCAAGGUCAUCUCCUGGGGGCCCUCUCUGGAGCCACCAGACCUCUGGACACCAUGGCCAGGUUCCUUGCCCUCCCCACCCCAUCCCAGAGCGCACUCACCAACUCCACGGGAGGCAAGGCCUGACAGGCUGAAGUCACCUGGAAGGGGACCGAGGUGGAGAGAAACUAGGAGAAAAGCACAGGAUGUAGAGGUCUAUUCGGCAUAAUCUUCUCCCUCAUUUUCAUCUUCACCAUCAACAGAGAGAGCAGCAUACUUGCUUGCAGAACUGAACUUCUGUAACACAACGAGAGUGACAGGAUAAUGAAGGCCCUGAAUUAUCACAUCAAAACCCAAGACACAGGAUACUGAUCCUUUGGCAAUGGGGGAUGACAGUCAGAUGACACCCACUUGCUUGCUCAUCAGCAUUGUCCAUUGGAGAGGAGCUAGGGAAGAGGGUCAGAGGCACAUGCGAUCUUACUAUAGUCUCAUACCACCUCUACACCUUGCAGAAGGGAUGAGAACAAAGGAAGACAGAAACCAGGAAAAAGCUAAACUUCUUUCGCUAUUUCAGUAAAGACCAAUGUCUUAUUUCCAAACACUUUGUAUUCCAAAUGGAAAGAAGUCCAACGGCAAAAAGUUUAGAAUACUAAGAAUUUUUAAUUCUUAGUAAGAAUACUUAGAAUUCUAAGAAUUUUUCUUAGAAUGAAAAAUUGGGAGCAGCCUUCAACACUUACGGAAGCUGGAUUUUCCUCAGGUUUCUUUGGCUCAGGUGCAGAUCUGGAGUCUUGAUCCUUUUUGCCAUCUUUCCUGCAGAGACGUAAGCAUAAAACCAUGUCUUUAGGAAAGGACUCGCCUAAUACAAACAUGUGUAUGCAUGCAGUUUCAAGGCACUGAACAGGCACCUCUAGUCAACAGUCCUUGUUGUCUGGAUGAUGUAUUACUUCUAGAUUUUCAGAAUCUUAACUGUCUACGUUGGCUGACUUUAGUUUGCUCACAAUGAGCGAUCUGGCAGUGCUCUGAGAACCAAGAACUUAAUUUCUUAAUUACACAAACAUGUGGAUCAGAGGAAAGAUGAGAAAGAGAACAAGCAUACCUAUCUGACUCCUUCCAGUGGUCUCUGUUCCCUCCGUCGCCUGGACCACGGCUAGAGUUCCCAGUUUGGCCUUUUGGGGCAUUCAUCCCAUCUACUUUAUUUUCAUCUGCUUGGGCAGUAAUGUAAACAAAUUAAAGGCAAGUAAAAGUAUCAAUGUCCCUCUCCUAAGAUUUCCCUUAAGCUGAAGAAAAUUGUGCCCACAUGUACUGAGGGAAACUAACCUCACCCCAACCCAGACUUCCUUCCUGAAGCCCUUCUUUCCACAUCCUCUACAGCACACAAAAAUACAAAAAACAAACAAAAUCCACUAAAAAGUUCCAUGUAGGGAUAUGCCAUCAUGAAAAGCAAGCUGGAAAUAAAGAUUAUGACGCUCUGUA
rnacentral:lncRNA from 1 species